rnacentral:tmRNA from 1 species
GGGGGCGAAUGGCUUCGACCGGAUAGCUAGAGAGGUAAGUGGCAUGUGCAGGACGCCAGUUGGCCUGGUUAAUCAUCUGGCAAGAAACUAAAUGCAGAUACACAGUAUCGCAUGGCUGCCUAAUUAGGCAACCCGUUCAACAGGACAUUGUCUGCGGGUCUUGUUAGAGCGCAAAACAGCGGGCUGGUCUCAUCGGGUGCCCGGACUGAUGGGAUGAGAAACUCUGGGAUAGCCAAAGCAAGUGUCUGUCGCUUGACGCAAGUAGAGGCGAUAAAAAAUAAUGAACGACUAAACAUGUAGAAGCUUAUCUUGAAAUGUCUCGGGACGGGGGUUCAAAUCCCCCCGCCUCCAUUC